UAAUACUAUAAAGGUUCAAGUCA
rnacentral:miRNA from 1 species